CAGGCCUAACACAUGCAAGUCGAACGAUGAAGCCUAGCUUGCUAGGUGGAUUAGUGGCGAACGGGUGAGUAAUACGUGAGUAACCUACCUUUAACUCUGGGAUAAGCCUGGGAAACUGGGUCUAAUACCGGAUACGACCAAUCUCCGCAUGGGGUGUUGGUGGAAAGCGUUAUGUAGUGGUUGUAGAUGGGCUCACGGCCUAUCAGCUUGUUGGUGAGGUAACGGCUCACCAAGGCGACGACGGGUAGCCGGCCUGAGAGGGUGACCGGCCACACUGGGACUGAGACACGGCCCAGACUCCUACGGGAGGCAGCAGUGGGGAAUAUUGCACAAUGGGCGCAAGCCUGAUGCAGCGACGCCGCGUGAGGGAUGACGGCCUUCGGGUUGUAAACCUCUGUUAGCAGGGAAGAAGAGAGAUUGACGGUACCUGCAGAGAAAGCGCCGGCUAACUACGUGCCAGCAGCCGCGGUAAUACGUAGGGCGCGAGCGUUGUCCGGAAUUAUUGGGCGUAAAGAGCUUGUAGGCGGUUUGUCGCGUCUGCUGUGAAAGGCCGGAGCUUAACUCCGUGUAUUGCAGUGGGUACGGGCAGACUAGAGUGCAGUAGGGGAGACUGGAAUUCCUGGUGUAGCGGUGGAAUGCGCAGAUAUCAGGAGGAACACCGAUGGCGAAGGCAGGUCUCUGGGCUGUAACUGACGCUGAGAAGCGAAAGCAUGGGGAGCGAACAGGAUUAGAUACCCUGGUAGUCCAUGC
rnacentral:rRNA from 1 species